rnacentral:rRNA from 1 species
AUUAACGUUGGCGGCGUGUCUAAGGCAUGCAAGUCGAGCGACGUGUUCCCGCAAGGGAAUUACGAGCGGCAAACGGGAGAGUAAUACCCUGGUAACUUACCUUCAAGACGGGGAUAGCUUCUCGAAAGAGAAAUUAAUACCCGAUGGUCAUGCGGGGACGAGAGUCAUUCGCAUGUAAAUCCUUUCGGGCUUGAAGAAAGGCCUAGGUCCUAUCAGCUAGUUGGUGAGGUAAUGGCUCACCAAGGCAACGACGGGUAGGGGGCGUGAGAGCGCGACCCCCCUCACUGGGACUGAGAAACUGCCCAGACUCCUACGGGAGGCUGCAGUCAAGAAUCUUCCACAAUGGCCGAAAGGCUGAUGGAGCGACGCCGCGUGCAGGAAGAAGUCCUUCGGGAUGUAAACUGCUUUUAUAAGGGACGAAUUCGUGACGGUACUUUAUGAAUAAGAGGUUGCUAACUCUGU